rnacentral:hammerhead_ribozyme from 1 species
GUACUGAUGAAGAGUCCCAAACUAAGACGAAACAGUCGUCCAGUAC